AUGCAGUCGAGCGGGCUGAUACUAGAUACUAGGCACUGGAGAGCAGAAGAAGGAACUAAAGUUCUUGAAUUUAUCUAAUUUCCAGUUUCUAGUUUCUAGCAUCUAGCUAGCGGCGGACGGGUGAGUAACACGUGGAUAACCUGCCUUAUACAAAGGAAUAACAACCAGAAAUGGUUGCUAAAACCUUAUAAGCUCACGGAGUGGCAUCACUUAGCGAGAAAAUAUUUAUAGGUAUAAUGAGGGGUCCGCGUCUGAUUAGCUAGUUGGAGGGGUAACGGCCCACCAAGGCGACGAUCAGUAGCCGGCCUGAGAGGGCGAACGGCCACAUUGGGACUGAGACACGGCCCAAACUCCUACGGGAGGCAGCAGUGGGGAAUAUUGCGCAAUGGGGGAAACCCUGACGCAGCAACGCCGCGUGAAGGAAGAAGGCUUUCGGGUUGUAAACUUCUAUCGACGGGGAAGAAAAAAAUGACAGUACCCGAGUAAGAAGCACCGGCUAAAUACGUGCCAGCAGCCGCGGUAAUACGUAUGGUGCAAGCGUUAUCCGGAAUUACUGGGCGUAAAGGGUGAGUAGGCCGGUUGGCUAAGUCAUAUGUGAAAAUCCAGGGCUCAACCCUGGACCUGCAUAA
rnacentral:rRNA from 1 species